rnacentral:ncRNA from 2 species
CGGACGCUAUCAAUUCUUGAAGUGUACCGCGCUUGCAGACUGUCACAUUCAGUUGUCUGCCUUGAUCAUUAUGACAGGGACAGAAGG